UCCUGGCUCAGAUUGAACGCUGGCGGCAGGCCUAACACAUGCAAGUCGAGCGGUAGAGAGAAGCUUGCUUCUCUUGAGAGCGGCGGACGGGUGAGUAAUGCCUAGGAAUCUGCCUGGUAGUGGGGGAUAACGUUCGGAAACGGACGCUAAUACCGCAUACGUCCUACGGGAGAAAGCAGGGGACCUUCGGGCCUUGCGCUAUCAGAUGAGCCUAGGUCGGAUUAGCUAGUUGGUGAGGUAAUGGCUCACCAAGGCGACGAUCCGUAACUGGUCUGAGAGGAUGAUCAGUCACACUGGAACUGAGACACGGUCCAGACUCCUACGGGAGGCAGCAGUGGGGAAUAUUGGACAAUGGGCGAAAGCCUGAUCCAGCCAUGCCGCGUGUGUGAAGAAGGUCUUCGGAUUGUAAAGCACUUUAAGUUGGGAGGAAGGGCAGUUACCUAAUACGUGAUUGUUUUGACGUACCGACAGAAUA
rnacentral:rRNA from 2 species